GGCAGCUGCUGCCGCAGCCGCAGCCCUGAUAAAGGGGCUGAGCAGCCUGUUUGGGAGAGAUAAAGUGAAGUCCCAGCGUUUCCUGUCCUCAAUCCAAGCCUUACCAUCAAUAUUAAUACAGCCUGACAAACUGGCGUUUAAGAUAGAAUAAAUAUAGACUGGUGCUGCUAUUACCUAGACCUUAUUAAUCUGCUUGCAGGCAUUUAAAUGCCGUUAAAAAUAUGGAGUUUACUCGCUGGCACUUCAAUAGCUUUACAAUCCAUCAGCGUUUUGUUUUCUGCCCUCCUCCUCCCCUUCCCGAGGUGCUGGCUCUGGGUGCCCACUGACCUGUGCUGCUCCGGGCUGGGAGAGAGGAGGGAGCUCUGCUGAAGGAUGAUGAUGAUGAUGGGUGGGAGCUCAGCCCAUGGAGGCACAAACCCCUCGGAGACGUGCAAAUGGAACUGGCUCACAGAUGCGAGAUGACAGCCCGCUGCGGGAGACAGACAAAUUACCUCCAACCUCGGCUCAAGACGCCCACAGACUCCCAAACAAAGGGAGACGGUGUUUGGGGGGCUGUGAUGAGUUAUCAGUGCUCAGCCAGGCUGCCCAGCCUGGUCCUUGGGUGUUCUUUGUGUGCAGCAUCCGCGGGGAUCCCGUGUGGAUUCCAUAGGGCACUCCCGCUGCAAAGGGGUUUGGGGGAGGCACAAUCUCAUCCAACCUCGUAUCAUGGGUGGAUGGCGUUCAAAAUCAGAGCAAUGUGAGGGCAAAUGUGUCCCUUGGAAAGGGACACACCGGGGGUGACAGAGUGGACCCAGCCAGCCUUUGCAGGAGGGAUGGCACUGUCGGGAAUCCCUUCUCCUUGCUUUGCCAGGGACACAUCUGGGAUGGGACCCUGCCACCCUGAGGGGGUGACAAUGGGUGACUUCUCAGCCCCACACGGGGAGGAGGGCUCGGGGCCACCUUGGAGCUGCCACCUCUACCUCAGCCUCCCUUUAUCUGCCCUGUGCUCCCAGGAGCCGCGAGCCCGGUGUUCCCAGCGAGCCCCCGAGGGCAGCCCGGGUGGUCGGCAGGAUUUAAUCGCUGUGUGUAACCUUUGCAGCCCGGCCCACGUGCCGGCUGGGCGCCGGCUCCGCAGCUCCAGAUGGCACCCGGGAAAGAGUUAAGUCCGCUGUGAUCAACAGCAAGAAGCAAGUGGUAAACAGUUUUUCUCUCCCUCUGCUAAAUUAAUAUGCAAAUUCCCCCCCUUCUCUCUCCCCCCACCCUUGCUUCGAAAUUAGCGAGGUAGAAUGCUUGGGCUAAUUAUGCAUUCAAACGAGCAGGCUUCGUUAAUGUGGCACUAAGAGGAGCCUGAAAAUGAUUGUGAGACGAUGAAAUUGAAAUUGGAGCACGGCACUUCUAAUGCAUCUGGAGUCACUCUUGCGUGCCCCGGCAGAUGUAACCUGGCAGUGACCGGCAGCUCCCGGGCAGCCGCAGCACCCAGAGCCUCCUCCAGCUCCCCCACCCCGCUCCACAAGCUCCACAAAAUCCUUUACAGCGUUUCCCUUGGGGAUGGAAGGGUGGGAUGGCCCUGAGCACCCAGAGCUCCUGCUGUGGGGUAGGGAUGGGGCAGACAACCCGGAGCAUCCCCAGGACACGGAGAAGGGUUGGGACUGAUGGUGCUCCAGGUGAGCCAAGCAGCUCCUGGCACAGCCCUCGAGUGUCCAUGCAGGUCCCCUGGGUGAUGCUGGCAUCAGCUCCUGUGCUCCCAUGGUCUGGAGCACGGCUGGGAGCACCUUCCUCCUUCCCAGGCAGAAUCCUGGCCCCCAAGGCAACCGACAGGUCCCGGGCAUGUUUGGAAAAGCUCCACUUGUGCUUGCAUGGAUAAACCUCUGGAUGAAUGAACCUUCUUCACUCCCAGGGAAUCCUGAUGGCUGCAGCAGGGUCACAGGGAUCCCAUUCCCAUCUCCACAUCCCAGCGGAUUCAGUGCUCAGGGAUUGUUGGCACACCCCAGCAAGGACCAGGCUGGUGGCACAUCCACAUCCAUCACAUCACGAGAGCCACAGCCCCAGGACUGUCCCACAACACCGGAGGUGGCACGGUGGCAUCCAGGACCAGGCUGGGGCAGCUCCUAUGGGCCCAAGAGCUGCAGAGGAAAAGAGGGAGAAAAAGUUGAGUGUGACAAGAGAAAUAGGGAGAUGUUUUAUUUUUGGGGUUGGGUUAGGAUGAGCAGCAUUUUUGAGGAUGAGCAGCCACCAGCUGCAAGAGGCACAGGGGAUGAUGAGGGAUUCAUGGGAAUACUGGCUCAGGAUGUCACCAGUCCCAGUCUCCUCUGGGAUAACUGCUCCCUGCCAUCUGCACAUCCCUGGAUGCAGCCACCCAAGGGCUAAACCUGGCUUCCCAUGAGACACAGCAGCACCGUGGGACCAGCAGAGAUGGAUGUCGGUGUUAAAUAUUCAUCAGAGGUGUAGAAUUUACUGGAAGCAUCCAUUAGGAGGUAACGCCCCAUCCACAGCGUGCUCCCGCAGCCGGGCCAUGCCGAGGUGGGCGGAAGGCGGCGGGGGAGGGAGACGGAUGCUCCGGAGGAGGCUGCGGAGCCGUAAACCAGAUGCACUGUUAGGAAUCAAUGAGGAGCUACAGACUUUAGGCACUCAACCACCGAAAUGAAGAGAAGGAAUAAACAGACAAGGAGAUGAAUAACACCCCGGAAAGGAGGGGAAGAAAUGGGGGAGCAGCAGGGAUACACAUCCUGGAGGAGAUGAUCCCUGGGAGUGGGGUGGGAUGGAAUGGCAUGGUUUGGUCCAGGGGGAUGCAGAGCUCCAGGAGCGAUGUUGAGCAUCCCAGAGAGAUGCUGAGCAGUCCUGAGGACACACACCUUGGCAGGGGACGCUGUUGGGCUCGGAGUGAGCUGUGGUGUGCCCGGGCAGGGCCGGGGCCGGGCCAUCCCACGGGCACCGGGAGCCGCCGCACCGGCCGCGCUCCGCAGCGUGCCCCGGGGUCGGGGCUGGCACACGGAGGGGGUUGUUUUCCUCAUCUCUCCGGUAAUUUUUCCCUCUGACUAUGAUGCAUAGCGGUGCUAAUUCGGCACGUUGCCAUUAAUUCCAGCACAGCUGCCGCUCUCUCCCUCAAGGCAUUUCGCUAAUACUCGGCUUCAGAGCCUCUCAGCAAAUUAACAUCAUUUGUUCUGCAGAACAUGUUUUAUUUCUACACUACAUGCAUAGCUUAUUACUCCUCCAGAAACUCGGGGUGUGCAGGAGGCAGCACCGUGGGCACGGCCCUCCAGAGCCAGCCCUGCUCCCCUGCUCGCCGUGCCCAUCCCUGGGCGGGCACAGGGACACGGCGCUGUCCCCUGUGCCACCUCGCACUGACCCGAGCUGGAGCUGCAGGGAUUUUCUCCCAGUGCCAGGAUGUUCUGGUGCUGUUGGAACACCCAGAGCUGGUGAUGUGAGGGGGGAUGGUGGCAGUGUGCUGGGUCAGUCACUGGCUGGCAUCUCCUGCAUCCCCCUGGCCUGAUGCCACCUCUCAGUGCUCCUACAUUAAGGGACAGAGGUGACAAGAUGUCCCAGGAUGUCCAGGCCAGGCUGGGGCUUGCUGGGUGUGACACUGAAAGGAACCAGGAGUCCCCAGCACCAGCAGAACAGCUCAGACCCUUCGGCAGCAGCUCUGGGAUGGAGCAGAGCACCUCCCACAUGGCCCUUGGUGCUGAGCCCGGGCUGUCGGUGGGGGUGUGAGCUGGGCAGAGUGUCCCCAGCAAGGCAGAGUGUCCCCAGCAAGGCAGAGUGUCCCCAGGCAGACACAGGGUGGGUCCUGCCACCACCCACCAGCCCCUGCCAGUGAUCGCUUCAGGUCUUUCACUUUGAUUAAGGUUAUUUAAGCUUUUUACCAAAACAUAAAACCUGAUUGUUUGCAUAAACAACCUAAUUGGAUUAUAGUGCACAGCAUCGCUAAUGCCGCGGGCUGGCUGGGAGCUGGCGGGAGCGGGGAGCACCGGGAGCACCGGGAACAUCGGGGGCACCAAGGGCACCGGGAGCACCGGGAACAUCGGGAACACCGGGAACACCGGGAACACCGGGAACACCGGGGGCACCGGGGGCACUGGGAGCACUGGGAGCACCGGGAACAUCGGGGGCACCAAGGGCACCGGGAGCACCGGGAACAUUGGGGGCACCGGGAGCUGGGACGGGAAGGGGAUUGGUGAGACCCCUCCGUGCCCCACGCCGGGGUCUGCAUCCACCUGUCCCCUUCUCCCAGCGGCGGAGGGACCCUCCUCGGGGCGGGCGACAGCCGCGUGAGGACACCGCUGUCCCCCCACGUGGCCCCGGCUGUGCCCUUGCUGAUGCCUCACCUGCAAGGCGAGAGGGGACAAAGCCCCCGCUGGUGGGAGGAGGAAGAGGAAGGUGGAGGUGCCGAGCGGGAAGCAGGGGGCCGGGAGCUUUGCAGGAAUGCUGCCUGCGCAGCGUUUCCAUGGCUGGGAGCUGCAGAAGGCUUUCAUGGCAAGAGGCGGAGAGGCUCCAUGAAUAUUUCAUUAGGAAAGCAAUGUGGUGUGCUGCAGAGAACAUCUGGCUGGAGUCCCUGGAGACCCCUGCCUUGUGCAGGAAGCAGGAACUGUGAAAUACGGAGGAAAACGAGGAAGAGGGGGAGAUGGGGGGAUCAUCCCGUGACACGGGGAGCGUUCCUGCCCUCCUGGCCCUGCGCUGGGCAGUGCGGGGCGGGCACACGGCUUCGUCCUCUGGGCAAUGACGGCAGCUGGAAAGGCUGCGGUGGUGCCAUCCAGGAGGAUCCUUCCCUGAACAUUUUGGGGACCAGACUGCAGCAGGCCGCUGUGUUUAAUCCCGAUAUCCAAUGCAGGAAUGGGCAGAGCUGCUCCCCCUGCUCAGAGCUGAGUGGCCAGGUGAUCAGUGAUGCUGGAGCAUUGG